GUGCGGCCCUAUCGAAGCUGUAUUUCAUUGCUAUAUGCAGUAAUAUGGUCAAAGUGAGGCCUAAAGAAUUUUUUUGUAAUGGUCACUGGCUUACUAUUAUUCUCAUAGUUUUUCAGUAUUACCCAAGCAAAAUACAAUA